CCUACGGGAGGCAGCAGUGGGGAAUAUUGGACAAUGGGCGAAAGCCUGAUCCAGCCAUGCCGCGUGUGUGAAGAAGGUCUUCGGAUUGUAAAGCACUUUAAGUUGGGAGGAAGGGCUGCUGGUUAAUACCCUGCAGUUUUGACGUUACCAACAGAAUAAGCACCGGCUAACUUCGUGCCAGCAGCCGCGGUAAU
rnacentral:rRNA from 1 species